UUGAUCGUUGGUUUAGUGGUUAGAGCGUCCGCCUAGAAUGCGGGAUGUUGUGGGUUCGAUCACCGGUCGAGUCAUACCAAA